UUCUCGGCUUUCGAGAGCUGACCUUUGCGCGGCCGGCCGUGGCCUUCGCAUUUUGGAGAUGUACGGAGUUUUUAUUCGGCAGUCGUACCUGCAUAUCGUUUGCUUGAGAGCUGCUUAAUGAGCAGCUUGCGUAUUUCAUAGAGAAAUGUAAGCAAAUUUGUCGGCCUGCUGGUGGCAAGUCGGAAUGCCAAAUGGUAACACAAGCUGGGUGUUCAAGUUAUCAUACGCUUUCAUCUCGGAAAUCAAUGAUGAGAUACACGGCACCUUUUUGAAAUGAAAUUUAGCCCGAGAGGCGUUGAUGUGACUUUGGCCUCGGUCAAUUGAGGCAGCCAAAGUUGUUUGUGCUCAUACGAUUUUUGUUGGCUACAGGCGAGAUACCUUGCUAUAGAGAAUGAUAUAUAGUACCUAUAACGCGUUUCAGCCGGGCGAGAUAUUAUAUUUGGUCCGUUACACACACACGCACACACGCACACACGCACACACACACGGACAUGGGCAAUCCUACAGGUCGGGGCCCCCCUGGGCGCUUCGCGCUGGGCCCCGCCCAAAAAGGCCCUACACGCUGCUCAGCAACGACAGGCUCAGCAUGCCAACAAGCAUCGCCGACCAGCCCACUUCCAAGUCGGGCAGUACGUCCUGCUAAACUCUAAGAACAUAAUGUUCAAGGCACCUAAUGCCAACGGACGCGGCAAGUUCAUGCCACGGUUCAUUGGACCUUUUCCCAUCCUAAGCAUGGUGGGCGAGUCUGCAGUCCACCUGCAACUCCCGGAGGCAUUGCGCAUGCACAAUGUCUUCCACGUGUCCCUGCUGCGACAGUUUAAACAAAGCAGCAACGCACCACCUCCACCAGUGGUCCCUGCAGUGGAAGGCGACCCUAUGUGGUUCGCCGAAGAAAUCCACGCACACCGUGCGAGCGGCUCUGGCCGUCACCACCUCGUCGAGUACUUGGUCCGCUGGCAGAACCACGGCCCCCAGUACGACUCCUGGGAGAUGGCCCAAGCUCCUUCAUAGUAUGGAGAUGGUAGAAUCUUCAAGCAACUUUUGAACGACCAGGGAGAGUUGCUGAUAGGCGAAUUUGUAUGAAGCUAUAAAAUUCCUUUAUUCCUUCAAGGUAAGUGAAUGCUUAUGUAUUCGUCUGUUAGUAGCGUGAAGCUUUGAACACUCUUUGUACGGCAGAUUCGGCACAAUGUUUUGCCUCAUUGCGAUGUUGCCUGAAAAUUUUAAACAGAAGGGAUCACUGCUCAUGCUGGUGCAGCAAGACAUGUAAGGAGAUGGCCUGGUCACAAUCCAGCAGUCAUAUAUCGACAAUCUCAAGCUAUGACAACUUGUUACAUGUGUCUGUAAUAAAAAAGGGACUUUGCGAUGGUGUGGGGAGCUCUUUGAGUGGUGGGACUGUGGAAAUCCAGUUUGUUUCGCCCGUAACAAGUUUGUUACGGGCGAAACAACGUCCCUCUGAAACGUUUGGAUAUGCCUAUGCAACACAUUUCCUCAAUUUCAUGAACUGCAAGUAUUCUAAUCCAACAUCACCCCAAUCUCAGUGUAAACUAGUCUCCAAAUGUGCCUGCACAAGACUGUCACCCCUGUCACCCGGCAUUCACAUUGCC
rnacentral:lncRNA from 1 species